UUUUUGCCAAGGAUAAAUUUAACAGCUCUCUUCCCUUUGCCUUUCUUUCUCCAUUGUCUGCUUCUUCUCCCAGCCCUGUUGACAGUAUCUGCUAUGACAUGUGCUGUACAGGAGAUGGAGAGACAAAGAAACUGUGCAGUCCCUCCAUCCUCUUCUCUUUUCCUUUCUCAAGUCUUCACUGCUGCAUCAAGGCUGGUGAAAAUCCCUUUUUAUUUUCUCACCAAGAAAAGCAGAUUAGAAAGCUGAAAAAUUAGUGUCUUAAAAUGCUAUCUCAAAGAUAUGUGAGCAAACUGGAUGUGAUAAAGCAAUCAGUAAAGGAGUGUAGUGGAUUGCAUGACAGCAAGAACAGCCAGCUGCAUCUGAGAAAUAUGUAAGUCCUUGGACUCCAGCAGUAUAAAACUUCCCAAGCUGUAAAAGAAGAGCAAUUCUUUCUCUUUUGUGGCAGUCCCAGUGGUUUGAAUCAUAGUUGGCAACUAAUAAAUGCAAUCACGGAGUCAUUGACAUUAAAAGAAACAUCACCUCACAGUGGGUAUUCACAUAAGAUCUUGGAUUCCUUGUACGUAGUAUAGCACGUGCUGGGGUUGUUAAAUUUGCAGAUGUUGCUAAUAAAUAAAAAUAGUUUUAGUAGGACAGGAAUAGAAGAAACAUUAGAUACAGAAGUGUUGCAUAACCAGCCUUGAUGAGCAGGGAAGUUCCCCUUGUGCAGCGUUCAAGAAGUACUGUUCCCAGUAAAUGACAGCAAAUAGAUCCUAAAUCCCUUGGUCAUACUGAACAUAUUAAUACUGCUCUUUUCAAAAACCCAAAUGUUGCUUUUUCUUUUACCUGUUAGCCUCUGGAAAAAAAAUAAGGGGGAAAAGCAAGCUUUGACAGAGUAUUUCCUGACUCAGCAGUUGAAUGGAAGGAACGAUGCUGACGCACUUGGUUCAAGGGGCCAUGUGGAACCAGGAUAAGAAAUAGAUACUGAAGUAGCAGAACUUUUUAAGUUCUUCAGAGCCAAGGAAAACCCCAGAUUUGAGAGCAAUCCAGCUUGAGCAAGCCUUGGAGGAGGAGAGAAGACGUGAAAGCUCAGUGUUUCCACUUCUGUUCUCCUAAGUAUCCCUCAGCAGUGGUGUUCUGGUUUUUAGGAACAAGGGGCUGGCACCAUCUCCUUUGCACUCCUUGUAAUUCUGGGAGGGAGAUGAGGAGAGCAGUGGUUCUCCUUGGAGAACCAACAGGCCCAAGGAAGAGCAGCCAUGAGUCUGCAGGAAGAAGGUUUCAGGGCUCAUGGUCCCUUCUCUACAUCCCAUUUGUUUGUGUGCAUCCUCCUGGAGAACCUGGUCCGUGCAUCAUGUGGAAAGUGUAUCACUGAUUAUAAUUGAACUCAUCUUAAAAAAACUGUGCCAUACCCCAUGAUUAUAAUUUCUCUGCUGAGGUUGUUUAUCUUCUCUUUCUUGUUUAUUGCUUGAGUGAAGCUAGCACAUUUGAAAUUCUGUUUUAGAAGAAGUAGGAUACUGUGCAACUGGUGGUAUUUCACUGCAGAAUAACCCCCAGAGGGAUUUGUAAUCCCCUGGUACUAUCAUCCAAUAGUGAUCCAAAUUGAAUAAUGAGCUCAGUGCUAUGAAUUCAGCCUCAUACUCAGCCUCAUUCUGCAUUGGUUAGCACUGCUUAGAAAUUAAUUAACUAUUACUCUGUAUUUAUGCUAUCAAUGACAUCCAGAGGCUGGCCUAAACACUGGAGCCACUGGCAGCAGCAAUAUCUGUACAUGCAAAUAUUUUUAUGUACAUGCAGAUGCUUUGUUCUCCCACUAUAUAUAUGUGCUGUAGACUGUCUUUUAAAGGAGCUGUUACUGCAUCUUCCCCACAGCUAGACACAAGCAGACAGUACAUGCUGGACAUCAGUCAAAGAUGCACAAUGACACAGAGUUUGCUAUUAAUGUUUACAGGAUUUGGAAUGUUGAAAUCGAUUUUGGCACUGAAAGUGCAGCCUGGUAAAUUGCUUGUCACCCUUGUUUCAUCCCCGGUCUCAUUGAGAAUCUCAUAUGCAAUUAGCCAUAAUUGCUAUACUGUAUUUAUUCUGAGGCACACAGCACAUUGCUGGUUUGUUGUUUGGUUCUCAAAAAUGGUGAGUUAAUUGCUUACAAAAACACAGCUCAAAAUAAGGGAACCUUUGUGGUGAGGGACUUUUCUUCAGAGUGGAAAAUUACGGAGACUUUAAUAUCAUGCAUGUUCCAAACUCAUGGCCCUCCUGUACUUGAAAUCACCCUGGCUUCAAGGACAGGAACUUGUGCAUAAAGGCAUGACAAGUCAAUCUCCAUUGCCAAACUGUGGGACACAGCAAGAAGAGCUGGAUUCUCUGCACACCAGGAUCAAAGUUAACAAGUUCUUGUGCUGUCUGUAAGACAGAGCAAUUCCUUCUGCACAUGGAACUGGGCAGGAGUUCUUUAAAGGAAAGUGUUUGCUCCACAUCCUCUGGGUCACAAGGUAGAAGCAGCACUGAAUGGCUCGCAUGAAUUCCUCUGCCAGUUUAUCCUGGCAAUAUCUUCUAUUUAAACAGCCAAGGCUCCAGAAUUAGCAUGGACUGUCUAGAAACCUCAAUAAAACGAAGUGCUUUGCCAAGAAACAGUCUAGGACAGAAAAAAAAGUAAAAAAAAAAAAGUGAAGCCCUUCUCACAGAUCAACAACAGGAAUCCACAAAAUUUUCCUCCCCAGGAAUGAAGAGCUGCAUUGUCUCCUGUUGUCAUCCAGGGGCUGGAUGCUGGAGGACAGGUCUGGUUCUCAAGUUUAACAUGGGGUCACCUGCUCUUUUCAUGUGGUAAUGGAUUGGUCAAGGAAGACCUAAUCAGAAAUUUCAUUGCUAUCCUUGCUAAAACAGAGGAUACUCUUCAGUCCCUCAUGUUAAGAAACUAGCUGUUCUAAUUUUUUCUGAAGAAAAUAAUUUUAGGAGGUAAGAUACAGAUCAAGCUAAAUUAACUUAAUUAAAGAAAAUGCAAAUCCAGUUGAAUACAUUUUCUAGUAGAGAAUGUAGAUUCUACUUGCUGCAGCACAAAAUAUCUCCAAGAGUCUGGAUUUGACAAAUAGUGGCAAUAAUUGUAUGUCUAAAACAUUAAAAAUAUCUUAUAUCAGAAUACUGGAUGAAAGAAGGAAUUUUUUUUUCAACUCUUGCAGAUUGAAAAAAACAAGUCUAAAUACCAUGAACUGAUUUCCAGGAUAUUCAAACUAGUUUAGAUCUUACUUUUCAUCCAGUUAAUUAUUUUGCUAUUUUCCAUUCAAUUAAUUAUCAGAUUAAGGUUCUUAUGUAAUAUGUAAAAUGGUCUUUUGAUAAUAAAAGAUUAUAAAAGAAAUGCUGCAGAGUUUGCUUCAGAAGAAAGCUCAGCAAGAUUGAAAUCUGCAGAAUUCCAACUUGAAAGAGGCUGUUAACUUUGAUAGCAGUUGCAUGUACCAUUACAAUUGCAUAUUCCACAAGAAAAUGGGGUGCAUCACUUGGGGAAUGGAAGACAACUAUAAAUCAUUAAAGAUUGUACAUAAAUACCAUUCCUUGUAUUUUCUGCUUAGACCUUCCAGAACUGCUGCAUUUAUCAAAAUCUCUAUUUCAGUUUUUUUAUUACGGAUGUUGAUUAUAACUGAUUUAGAACUUUGUAGUUGCACAGGAACCAGAGAAAGGCCAACAGGAUGAUUAGAGAGAUGGAGCAUCUCUCCUACAAGGAAAAACUGAGAAAAUUUGGUUUGUUCAGCCCAGAAAAGAGAAAGUGACCUAAAUGUGGCCUUCCAAUACCUGAAGGGAGCCUACAAGAAAGAGGGAGAGGGACUUUUUACAAGGGCCUGUGGUGACAGGACAAAGGGAAAUGGCUUCACACUGAAAGAGGGUUUAGAUCAGAUAUUAGGAAAUAUUUCUUUGCUGUGAGGGUGGUGAGUCCAGAGAAGUUGGGGGUGACUCAUCCCUGGAAGUGUCCCAGGCCAGGUUGGAUGGAGCUCUGAGCAACCUGGUCUGUUGGAAAGUGUCCCUGCCCGUGGCAGAUGGUUUGGAAGUAGAUGAUUUUUUAAGUUCCAUUCCAACCCAAACCAUUCUAUUCACGAUAUUUCAGUCUGUGUGAUUCAGUGAUAUCAGUGAUUCAUGGUAUUUCAGUCUUCCUAGAAUCUACUCUGGAAAAAAAAAAAAAAAAAGAAAUCCUACUGCUUUACAACCUAAGAACUGAUGCUCAGCAUGAGUUUUUUUACUCUGCAGGGUUGGUGACGUGGCUUUUCAGCUGCCUGUAUCACUUUCCUUCUCCAAAAUCUGUUCAUCCUCUCAGUCCUUCACGUGUUGGCCGUGUGCCUGCUGAAAGCAGGUGCAUUUGGAGAAAUGACAACUAUCUCAGGACUCAGUUAUUUAAUUAACUCAUUUUUAACUGGAUUAUUUGAAAAGGCUAUCCCAACUGUCUGGUGGUCAGUACCUUGCUUGUGUGCUAAGCAAUGCUUGUCAAAGUCCCUGCUUCCCUUCUCUUCAGUUGCAUCACACUUCUCUAGAAGGAACUGGAAAGCUGCUAGACUCACAGUGAGGAGUGAGAAGAUCCAAGCUCCAUUUUUAACUUUUCAGACUGUUUUACAAAGGCUCACCUUGAGAACUGUGCUGCGUCUUGGGUUUCUAUUCUGCGUCUUGGUUUUCUUUUUUCUAAAAAGACAUUUAAGUAACUUUGAGAAUUAUAAAGGGAAAAGCUACUCAGUGAUUAACACUUUAAUCACUGAGAUAAUUCAACAGCUUUGUUCUGUGGUCUACUUAGUAUUGUGAAUAGAAAAAUAAACACUUCUUCAAAUAUCCACUAGGGUUUCUGAGCACAUUUUUGCACUGUUUACAUUCCAUUAACAUUCUACAGAUACAGAUUUACUCACAGUGGUUUCAACUGUAUCUAUCCAGACACAUUUUAAUGCUUUCUCACAGCUUUCAUAAGUAAAUCUUGAUUAAAAAAA